rnacentral:rRNA from 1 species
UACGUAGGGUGCGAGCGUUGUCCGGAAUUAUUGGGCGUAAAGAGCUCGUAGGCGGCCUGUCACGUCGGAUGUGAAAACCCGGGGCUCAACCCCGGGCCUGCAUUCGAUACGGGCAGGCUAGAGUUCGGCAGGGGAGACUGGAAUUCCUGGUGUAGCGGUGAAAUGCGCAGAUAUCAGGAGGAACACCGGUGGCGAAGGCGGCAUCCUGGACCGGUAUUGACGCUGAGGCGCGAAAGCCAGGGGAGCAAACGGG